rnacentral:rRNA from 1 species
AACGAACGCUGGCGGCAUGCCUAACACAUGCAAGUCGAACGAGACCUUCGGGUCUAGUGGCGCACGGGUGCGUAACGCGUGGGAACCUGCCCUUAGGUUCGGAAUAACUCCCCGAAAGGGGUGCUAAUACCGGAUAAUGUCUUCGGACCAAAGAUUUAUCGCCUUUGGAUGGGCCCGCGUUGGAUUAGCUAGUUGGUAGGGUAAAAGCCUACCAAGGCGACGAUCCAUAGCUGGUCUGAGAGGAUGAUCAGCCACACUGGGACUGAGACACGGCCCAGACUCCUACGGGAGGCAGCAGUGGGGAAUAUUGGACAAUGGGCGAAAGCCUGAUCCAGCAAUGCCGCGUGAGUGACGAAGGCCUUAGGGUUGUAAAGCUCUUUUACCCGGGAUGAUAAUGGCAGUACCGGGAGAAUAAGCUCCGGCUAACUCCGUG